rnacentral:tRNA from 4 species
GCCAGCGUAGCUCAACUGGUAGAGCGACUGAUUUGUAAUCAGUAGGUUGUGGGUUCGAGUCCCACCGCUGGCUCCA